AAGCUAUCAUUGCCUUUAGGGCAAGCUUGACUUUUGUUCAAAUAGACAUGCAAAAGUCAAGUGUACCUUAAGAGGGAAUGAUAGUUUAAAAUCGUU
rnacentral:pre_miRNA from 12 species